UACGAAGGGGCUAGCGUUGCUCGGAAUCACUGGGCGUAAAGCGCACGUAGGCGGAUUGCUAAGUCAGGGGUGAAAUCCUGGAGCUCAACUCCAGAACUGCCUUUGAUACUGGCGAUCUCGAGUCCGGGAGAGGUGAGUGGAACUGCGAGUGUAGAGGUGAAAUUCGUAGAUAUUCGCAAGAACACCAGUGGCGAAGGCGGACUCACUGGCCCGGUACUGACGACUGACGGU
rnacentral:rRNA from 1 species